rnacentral:snoRNA from 1 species
GUGCAGACUGUUAUCCCUUUUUAGCCUGCGGUGACUCUAGAGGGAGUCUGUCUGCUACAUGAACACGCAGAACUCGCGUGAACUCU